AUAAAAUGAGCUGGAUUUAGGCCCAGUCCGGCCAUCCAGUGCCUCAGCUUCUCCAUUCCAGCUCUUCCCUAACCUACCACCUAGAGGGAUGAAAUCAUGUAGCUCAUGAGUUCAUAGAUUCUCACAAAUGAAGGUGUUAUGGCACAGUUAUUAUAAAUAACUACUGGGCUAAAUUUCCUCCCCUGCCCCGCACACACACUUACUGCUUGGACAUGUGAAACGGUUUCCCUUGACCCUUUGCUGUUUCCUGUUUUUCUUUUUAAAUCACUCUUGAUUUUAAAAAGGGCUGGGAAAUGAUCAAGUUCCCUUCUCUACAAUUAUUCAUGUAGAGAUUAAUAAUUGAUCGAAGCUUUGUAAAUCUGAACCGGGAGCAAAUACAGAUAAAACUCUAAUGACGUGGACUAAUUAAUAGGAAUUUAGUGGUGUGGUAGCAUUCAUUGUGCUUCAGCCAAGAUCAUUUAUAGAGAAAUUGCUGAAAGAUCCUAGGUGCCAAGAAGAUCUUGAUACCCAGAAGCUCCAGAGCAUACAACUUUCAACUCCAAGGAACAUGUGAAAAUAUACUCGAAGCCCGUGAAUUUUAACGAGCAUGCAAAAUGGAGGUCUCAAGACUCCUACUCUCUUUGUUGUGUAAGAUUCAUGUAAAAGCAAAGCACUUUUGGGAAUCCAGCCUGCCGGGAAAUAAUGAAGGGUUUAGGUGAUUAAACAAGAGCUUUAACCCGUAGAUACAAGAAACUAGUUGAGGAUUACUCAGAAAAGCUGAAGGCAAUCUUGAGAAUAAAUAAAUAGGAUUUACUUGAGGAAUUCCUACUGUAAAUUGUUUGUCUACUACUGUAAAUCAUCUUUGUUAAAUGCCUCAUCUUAAUUAACUUAGAGAAACUGCUUGUAAGACAGCAGAGUGGAUUUUUACAAACUUUCUGGUUUAAAAGGUAUGUUUUUUCUUGGCACGGUUUCGGUAUUAUAGAGGAAAUGCCAGAAUACAGUAAACUUAAACUGCUCCACCAUCUGUAGUAUGGCAAAUUGGGGGCAAUCUGUUUUCUGACCCUGGGGAAGGGUUCAGGGGCCAGGAUUCACUUCCUGCCACAUCUCCCAUGCACUCCAGGGACAAAAAUGGCUGGAGAGCACGCAUAUAAUUCCUCUCAGAUCCAUCCCUCAAGAGUUAUUUUCCCUGAAAGUUACCUUUAAGCAUCAUUGUGUGAUUCACUGAAUCAGUGUGUCACAAAAAAAUAAUGCUUACCGUUUACUUUUGCAGGUUCACCUUUGGAAAUAUGCACAUGUUGAUUUUUAUUUUGGAAGAUUCAUCUUUGGAAAUAUGCACAUGUUGAUUUUAUUUUGGAAGGGUUGGCCCCUUGAGUUGUAAAGAAGAUUAUUUUUUUAAAUCACUUGACAGCGGAUAAGGUAUUUUGAUGAGAAGAGAUUGCUCAAAUUCUUCCUCCUAGAUUAAAACAAACACAAGUCUCCUUCAAAAUAAGCAAUCUAAUAAAAUUCUGAAAGAAUAGUCAUAGUUGGAAUUCUAGAUUCUGAGGCUUCCUGGAAUGUUCAUUAGCUUCUUUCAUAUUGACCAAUGCUAUAUGUCAUGCCUUAUCCAAUCCCCCAACUUCCUGUGUGGUAGAUUCACAUUGCUUUUUCUAUUCCACUUUCACAGUCAUGAAAAACAAAAAGGUUCUGCUUUCUUUUCUCGUGCAUCUAAAGUAUCUUGCAGUAGUAGCACAAAAAUUAAAACCAAGUAACUACUUUUACAUUCACAAUACUCAGCAAAUUGCCAUUCACUGGAAGAGUGCUAGUUGUUUUCAUAAUCACUUUUAACAGGCCUUUUAGAAAAUGUAUUAAAAAUAAAUUUUCCUGAUCAAAUGCAAGUGAAUCUCUGAGGUAUUUUUUGAGCUUCUCUAAGAAUCUUGAUAGAGCUCCUGAGAGCUCUAUUUCCACAGUAAAAGGAAGCAUUUGGUUUUUAGAAGUAUUUAAUUGCUAGUACAAAAUAUACUUAAUCUCUCGAGACUUAUUUUGGCUUUGGAUGCAUGUUUAUCGUUGGCGUUUGAUCAUUUAUGGUUAAAGUAGGACUCUUUUAAAUACAUACAUUAGAUUAGCAUAAAAUCUUGUAACUGCU